rnacentral:rRNA from 1 species
AUACGGAGGGUGUAAGCGUUGUUCGGAAUCACUGGGCGUAAAGGGCGCGCAGGCGGUUUGGUAAGUCAGAUGUGAAAGCCCACGGCUCAACCGUGGAAGUGCAUUUGAAACUGUCGGACUUGAGUACUAGAGGGGAAAGUGGAAUUCCCGGUGUAGAGGUGAAAUUCGUAGAUAUCGGGAGGAAUACCGGUGGCGAAGGCGACUUUCUGGCUAGAUACUGACGCUGAGGCGCGAAAGCGUGGGGAGCAAACAGGAUUAGAAACCCCGGUAGUCC